AAAAAUAGCAAAACGAAAACUAACUCUAACUCUAAAUCAAUUCGGCCUUCAUCUUCUCUUCUUCUUCGUACUUUUUGAACUUACAAAAUCGCUGGCAUCGUCGCCUUCUUCAAGUCGCCAGAGGUCGUGACGUCGUCCUCGGAGUUCGUCGCGGUCGCCGCUACGUAGUCCGACUCCUUCUCUGAUCUCUCUACAGCGAGGCAACAGAGGUGUUUGGUUGCUUAAUUACUUACUGUAUCUUUACUUGUUUAGGCAGAGGUGUUUGGUUUUGUUUCGACCUUAGCUUGCUGCUGUUGUUGUAUUUUUUUUUAAUUUUGUUGUUUCAAUUUUGUGUUUUAACUUUCAACCUACGCUUCGGUACAAUAUAAUCAAUGUUGUUGUUGUUGUUAAUUGCCUACCACGACAGGAACUUCAAACCCAUGGAUGUUGCAUCUUCAGAAGCAGAAGCUCAAUCAGAGACACCAUCUCAAGCUAGUGUUCGAGUCAAAACUGAUCCGGCAUGGGAAUAUGCUAUUCUGAACAAUGGAAAAAUUAAUUGUACAUUCUGCCCACACAUCGUUGGAGGUGGGGGAAUUAGCCGAUUCAAGCUUCACUUGGCUUAGAGUAAAAGGGAAUGUAAAGGCAUGUUACCGGCGUACCUAUUCAUAUCCGUGAAGCAAUGUUGAAGCACUUGGAUGAAAGUGCAAGGAAGACCAAGACUAUUACAGUGCUUAAGAGGUCUUUCAGUGAUCUUGCUAGAGAGGAUGGUAGCUUGAUGAACGAAUUUUACUCGUUACCAAAAUAAAUCGGUUAAUGAAUUAAUCGGGUCGAAUUUCUCUAAGUGUCUUUAAGUAUCUUACUCAAAAUUGUAAUUAGUACUAAUCAAAAUAUCACUAAAUGUGGUUUAGGUGCCAAGACAAUCAAUCAAUCACAAAAGAAAAUAAAAAAUUUGCUUUAAUGUAAACAGGGUUGCAUGAC
rnacentral:lncRNA from 1 species